UAAACUAGGAUUAGAUACCCUAUUAUUUUAAAUGUAAAUUAUUAAUAUCAAAUUAGUAGUAGUUAAGUUCUUUAAAAUUAAAAAAUUUGGCGGUAUUUUAGUCUUUUCAGAGGAACCUGUCCUGUAAUUGAUAGUCCACGAUUAUAUUGAUUUUAUUUUUUAGUUUGCAUAUCGUCGUAGUUUAAAUAUUUUAAUAGAAAUUUAAUAUUUUAGAUUUAUGAUUAUAAAAUAAAUCAGAUCAAGGUGCAGCUUAUAUUAAAAUAGAGAUGGGUUACAUUAUAUCUAUAUUAUAAGAUAAUUUUUUUUAAUAAGAAUUUGAAUAUGGAUUUGAAAGUAAUUUUAUAUAUUUAUUUAGAAUGAUUUAAGCUCUAAAAUAUGUACACAUCGCCCGUCGCUCUUAA
rnacentral:rRNA from 1 species